AAGCUCGUAGUUGAAUUUCGGCCUAUAAGGUCGGUCAUGCCUAUGGUAUGUACUGGCUUUACUGAUUCCUCCUUCUUGAUGAACUGUAAUGUCAUUAAUUUGGUGUUGCAUGGAAUCAGGACUGUUACUUUGAAAAAAUUAGAGUGUUUAAAGCAGGCAUACGCUUGAAUACAUUAGCAUGGAAUAAUGAAAUAGGACGUUCGAUCCUAUUUUGUUGGUUUCUAGGAUUGACGUAAUGAUUGAUAGGGAUAGUUGGGGGCAUUAGUAUUCAAUUGUCAGAGGUGAAAUUCUUGGAUUUAUUGAAGACUAACUACUGCGAAAGCAUUUGCCAAGGAUGUUUUCAUUAAUCAAGAACGAAAGUUAGGGGAUCGAAGACGAUCAGAUACCGUCGUAGUCUUAACCAUAAACUAUGCCGACUAGGGAUCGGAUGAUGUUAUUUUUAAUGACUCAUUCGGCGCCUUACGGGAAACCAAAGUGUUUGGGUUCCGGGGGGAGUAUGGUCGCAAGGCUGAAACUUAAAGGAAUUGACGGAAGGGCACCACCAGGGGUGGAGCCUGCGGCUUAAUUUGACUCAACACGGGGAAA
rnacentral:rRNA from 1 species